AUGGGCGCAGCGCCGGGCUCCGUCCUUGUGCUGCUGGCGGUCCUCAGUGCCACGGGCAGAGCUCAGAUCCUGCAGCCCGGCUCGGCAGAGGCGCCGGAGGGAGCUCCGCUCAACCUCACCUGCGCCCACUCCUCAAUCAAGACGAAUGAAAACGUAUUUUGGUACCGGCAGUUCCCGGACCGCGGCCUCCAGUUCCUCGUGUCCGGGUACAAGGGCACCGUCUCUUCCUCCGCCCUGGAGGGCGCUCUGCACAUCUCCGCCGACAGACGGGCCAGCGCCCUGGCGCUCCGCCGAGCCGGGCGGGGGGACGCGGCCGUGUAUUACUGCGCUCUGAGCGACACGGUGCGACAGCCUGAGCCUGCCCCGCACAAGAACUCCCUGCGCCUGGGAGGAGCACACGGUUGA